rnacentral:rRNA from 1 species
AGAGUUUGAUCCUGGCUCAGAACGAACGCUGGCGGCGCGUUUUAAGCAUGCAAGUCGAUCGGCAGCAUGCCCUUCGGGGUGAUGGCGAGAGGCGGACGGGUGAGUAACACGUAGAUUAUCUGCCCUUUAGUUUGGGAUAACACCUGGAAACAGAUGCUAAUACCGAAUAUUCUGGAAACAGGAAAGCCUUCGGGCGCUAGAGGAGGAGUCCGCGUCCCAUUAGUUAGUUGGUGAGGUAAAGGCUCACCAAGACUUCGAUGGGUAGCCGGCCUAAGAGGGUGACCGGUCACAUUGGGACUGAGACACGGCCCAAACUCCUACGGGAGGCAGCAGCUAAGAAUAUUCCGCAAUGGACGAAAGUCUGACGGAGCGACGCCGCGUGGAGGAUGAAGGCCCUAUCGGGUUGUAAACUUCUUUUCUUGUGGAAGAAAGUAUCACAUGGGUGAUAUAUGACGGUACAUGAGGAAUAAGCCCCGGCUAAUUACGUGCCAGCAGCCGCGGUAAUACGUAAGGGGCGAGCGUUGUUCGGAAUCAUUGGGCGUAAAGGGUGCGUAGGCGGAGUGCUAAGUGAGGUGUGAAAAUCCAGAGCUCAACUUUGGACUUGCGCUUCAAACUGGCAUUCUUGAGUUUAGGAGAGGAAAACGGAAUUCCUGGUGUAGGGGUGAAAUCUAUAGAGAUCAGGAAGAACACCGAAGGCGAAGGCAGUUUUCUGGCCUAUAACUGACGCUGAAGCACGAAAGCUAGGGGAGCGAACGGGAUUAGAUACCCCGGUAGUCCUAGCCGUAAACGUUGCUUACUAGGUGUAUGUAGCAUAGACUACAUGUGCCGGAGCUAACGCGUUAAGUAAGCCGCCUGGGGAGUAUGCACGCAAGUGUGAAACUCAAAGGAAUUGACGGGGGCCCGCACAAGCGGUGGAGCAUGUGGUUUAAUUCGAAAAUACGCGAGAAACCUUACCUGGGUUUGACAUGUGCUUGAAUUACUAAGAAAUUAGUAAGCCUUUCGGGGCAAGUACACAGGUGCUGCAUGGCUGUCGUCAGCUCGUGUCGUGAGAUGUUGGGUUAAGUCCCGCAACGAGCACAACCCCUAUGUUCUGUUGCCAUCAGGUAAUGCUGGGAACUCGGAACAAACUGCCGGCGAUAAACCGGAGGAAGGUGGGGAUGACGUCAAGUCCUCAUGGCCCUUAUGUCCAGGGCUACACACGUGCUACAAUGGUUGGUACAGAGGGUAGCGAAAUCGCGAGGUGGAGCUAAUCUCAAAAAAACCAGCCACAGUACAGAUUGAAGUCUGAAACUCGACUUCAUGAAGGCGGAAUCGCUAGUAAUCGCAGAUCAGCAUGCUGCGGUGAAUACGUUCCCGGGCCUUGUACACACCGCCCGUCACACCACCCGAGUUGGUUCAACCCGAAGUUGCUGUUUCAACCUGCAAAGGAGAUAGGUGCCGAAGGUCGGGCUGAUAAGGGGGGUGAAGUCGAAACAAGGUA